UACGAAGGGGGCUAGCGUUGUUCGGAAUCACUGGGCGUAAAGCGCACGUAGGCGGAUUUUUAAGUUAGGGGUGAAAUCCCGGGGCUCAACCUCGGAACUGCCUUUGAUACUGGAGAUCUUGAGUCCGGAAGAGGUAAGUGGAACUGCGAGUGUAGAGGUGAAAUUCGUAGAUAUUCGCAAGAACACCAGUGGCGAAGGCGGCUUACUGGUCCGGAACUGACGCUGAGGUGCGAAAGCGUGGGGAGCAAACAGG
rnacentral:rRNA from 1 species